rnacentral:rRNA from 1 species
CUAAGAAUAUUCCGCAAUGGACGAAAGUCUGACGGAGCGACGCCGCGUGGACGAGGAAGGCCGGAAGGUUGUAAAGUCCUUUUGAGACUGAAGAAUAAGCGGGGGAGUGGAAAGCCCGCGCGGUGACUGUAGGCCAUGAAUAAGCACCGGCUAAUUACGUGCCAGCAGCCGCGGUAACACGUAAGGUGCGAGCGUUGUUCGGAAUCAUUGGGCGUAAAGGGCAUGUAGGCGGUCUGUCAAGCCAGGCGUGAAAGCCAGGGGCUCAACCCCUGAACUGCGCUUGGAACUGGCGGACUGGAGUCGCUGAGGGGGAACCGGAAUUCCUGGUGUAGGGGUGAAAUCUGUAGAUAUCAGGAAGAACACCGAUGGCGAAGGCAGGUUUCCAGCAGACGACUGACGCUGAGGUGCGAAGGUGCGGGGAGCAAACAGGAUUAGAUACCCUGGUAGU